AACGAACGCUGGCGGCAUGCCUAACACAUGCAAGUCGAACGAGAGCUUCGGGUCUAGUGGCGCACGGGUGCGUAACGCGUGGGAACAUGCCCUUAGGUUCGGAAUAACUCCCCGAAAGGGGUGCUAAUACCGGAUAAUAUCUUCGGACCAAAGAUUUAUCGCAUUUGGAUGGGCCCGCGUUGGAUUAGCUAGUUGGUAGGGUAAAAGCCUACCAAGGCGACGAUCCAUAGCUGGUCUGAGAGGAUGAUCAGCCACUCUGGGACUGGGACACGGCCCAGAAUCCUACGGGAGGCAGCAGUGCCGAAUAUUGGACAAUCGGCGAAAGCCUGAUCCAGCUAUGCCGCGUGAGUGCUGUAGGCCUUAGGGUUGUAAAGCUCUUUUACCCGUGAUGAUAAUGACGGUACCGUGAGAAUAAGCACCGGCUAACUCCGUG
rnacentral:rRNA from 1 species